GGACUACUGGGGUAUCUAAUCCUGUUUGCUCCCCACGCUCUCGCGCCUCAGCGUCUGUGUCAGUCCAGGUAGUCGCCUUCGCCACUGAUGUUCCUUCCGAUCUCUACGCAUUUCACCGCUACACCGGAAAUUCCACUACCCUCUACUGCACUCGAGUCUAUCAGUCUAAAGUGCAAUUCCUAGGUUAAGCCCAGGGAUUUCACACCUCACUUGAUAAACCGCCUACGCGCCCUUUACGCCCAGUCACUCCGAUUAACGCUCGCACCCUCUGUAUUACCGCGGCUGCUGGCAC
rnacentral:rRNA from 1 species